GUGAAUAUAGUUUAAAAUAAAACAUUAGACUGUGGCUCUAAAAACAGAGGUUAAACCCCACUUAUUUACC
rnacentral:tRNA from 1 species